AGAGUUGAUCAUGGCUCAGGAUGAACGCUAGCUACAGGCUUAACACAUGCAAGUCGAGCGGAACACCUUCGGGUGUUAGCGGCAGACGGGUGAGUAACACGUAUCCAACCUUUCCCUUACUUCGGUAUAGCCUCUGGAAACGGAGAGUAAUCCCGGAUGAAGUGUACGAUAAGCAUUUUUUGCACACCAAAGAUUUAUCGGUAAGGGGUGGGGAUGCGUUCCAUUAGGUAGUAGGCGGGGCAACGGCCCACCUAGCCGAUGAUGGAUAGGGGUUCUGAGAGGAAGGUCCCCCACAUUGGAACUGCGACACGGUCCAAACUCCUACGGGAGGCAGCAGUGAGGAAUAUUGGUCAAUGGUCGGAAGACUGAACCAGCCAAGUAGCGUGCAAGGAUGACGGCCCUAUGGGUUGUAAACUGCUUUUGUGCGGGAAUAACGGUAGCCACGUGUGGUUGCGUGCAUGUACCGUACGAAUAAGGAUCGGCUAACUCCGUGCCAGCCGCGGC
rnacentral:rRNA from 1 species